UUGCAUUUAGUUUUUUUGGACUCAACUUUGGUUCUGCUUCCUUAUUCAUAUUUUCCUCUUGCAUAUUUUCUUCUACCACAACAAUAAAGUCAUUUAUAAUCUCCAACUUCUCACUCAUCUUCUCAAAUUCAACAACUUAUUCAGCUAACCUCUCAAAUUGGCUCUCAAAGCUUUUAGUUGAAGCUUGAUUAAACUUCAUGAAUUAAACCACAACAUCUUCUAGUUUAGAGUUGAAAUCAAUUUAAUGCAUGUCUUGCUCUUUUUGUGCUAU
rnacentral:lncRNA from 1 species